rnacentral:lncRNA from 1 species
GGCGGGUUGAAUAAUCAAGAAGAUCCCAAUUCAUUCAAAGCUCUAACUAUCACUGAGCAACACAUGCUUCAAUGACAAUCUGAACUUCGAAUUAAUUUGUAAAACGGAAAUUCUUUAGAAACUUGAAGAUUAGAAAGAAUGGGUCAGAAUACUCGCACUUUCGAACAUUGAAAAGAAAGGUAUGAAUACUUGAAACAUAUACCAAAGGAAUGGAUCAGAAUAUUUGCAAUAUAUCCAAGAGAAAGGUUUAGGAUACUUGCAACACAUAUAGAAAAGAAUGGAUCAGAAUAUGCAAUAUAUCCAAAAGCAGGGUGUAGGAUACUUGCCUUAAAUCUGACUCCCGUCUCACAGCUCAUUCUCAUCUUUCAACUUUCACAAUCUAUGCAUCUCGUAAUCUCUAGACCAUCUCUAGCUAUACUCUAUUCGCCACAUCGCUUCGCUUACUCGAUUCAUCCCUUAUUCGCUUUGCAAUACCAUU